rnacentral:rRNA from 1 species
GAUGAACGCUGGCGGCGUGCUUAACACAUGCAAGUCGAACGGAAGUUUUAAAGGAAGUUUCGGAUGGAAUUUUAAAACUUUAGUGGCGGACGGGUGAGUAACGCGUGGGUAACCUGCCGUAUACAGGGGGAUAACACUUAGAAAUAGGUGCUAAUACCGCAUAAGCGCACAGCUUCGCAUGAAGCAGUGUGAAAAGCUCCGACGGUAUACGAUGGACCCGCGUCUGAUUAGCUAGUUGGUGAGGUAGAGGCUCACCAAGGCGACGAUCAGUAGCCGGCCUGAGAGGGUGACCGGCCACAUUGGGACUGAGACACGGCCCAAACUCCUACGGGAGGCAGCAGUGGGGAAUAUUGCACAAUGGGGGAAACCCUGAUGCAGCGACGCCGCGUGAGUGAAGAAGUAUUUCGGUAUGUAAAGCUCUAUCAGCAGGGAAGAAAAUGACGGUACCUGACUAAGAAGCCCCGGCUAACUACGUG